rnacentral:rRNA from 1 species
UCUUUAUAAUUUAAUUAAUUAAAAUUAAUUUAGUUAUUUUAAAUUUUUUAUUUAAUAAAUUAUUUUAUUGGGGUAAUAGAAAGAUUAAAUUAAUUCUUUUUUAUUUAAACAUUUAUUUAUGAUUAAAUGAUCCAAUUUUAUUGAUUAUAAGAUUAAGA